UGGGGGAAACCCUGAUCCAGCGACGCCGCGUGUGUGAAGAAGGCCUGCGGGUUGUAAAGCACUUUUAGUGGGGAUGAAAAGCUCAGGGCUAAUACCUCUGGGUCUUGACCUAACCCACAGAAAAAGCACCGGCUAACUCUGUGCCAGCAGCCGCGGUAAUACAGAGGGUGCGAGCGUUAAUCGGAAUUACUGGGCGUAAAGCGUGCGUAGACGGUUAUGUAAGUCGGGUGUGAAAGCCCCGGGCUCAACCUGGGAAUGCCAUUCGAGACUGCAUAGCUAGGGUGCGGAAGAGGGAAGCGGAAUUUCAGGUGUAGCGGUGAAAUGCGUAGAUAUCUGAAGGAACACCAGUGGCGAAAGCGGCUUCCUGGUCCAGCACCGACGUUCAGGCACGAAAGCGUGGGGAGCAAACAGGAUUAGAUACCCUGGUAGUCCACGCCAUAAACGAUGAGAACUAGACGUUGAGAGGGUAAGCCUCCCAGUGUCGUAGCUAACGCGCUAAGUUCUCCGCCUGGGGAGUACG
rnacentral:rRNA from 1 species